rnacentral:rRNA from 1 species
GCCAUGCCGCGUGUGUGAAGAAGGCCUUUUGGUUGUAAAGCACUUUAAGCAGUGAAGAAGACUCCAUGGUUAAUACCCAUGGACGAUGACAUUAGCUGCAGAAUAAGCACCGGCUAACUCUGUGCCAGCAGCCGCGGUAAUACAGAGGGUGCAAGCGUUAAUCGGAAUUACUGGGCGUAAAGCGAGCGUAGGUGGCUUGAUAAGUCAGAUGUGAAAUCCCCGGGCUUAACCUGGGAACUGCAUCUGAUACUGUUAGGCUAGAAUAGGUGAGAGGAARGUAGAAUUCCAGGUGUAGCGGUGAAAUGCGUAGAGAUCUGGAGGAAUACCGAUGGCGAARGCAGCYUUCUGGCAUCAUAUUGACACUGAGGUUCGAAAGCGUGGGUAGCAAACAGGAUUAGAUACCCUGGUAGUCCACGCCGUAAACGAUGUCUACUAGUCGUUGGGUCCCUUGAGGACUUAGUGACGCAGCUAACGCAAUAAGUAGACCGCCUGGGGAGUACGGCCGCAAGGUUAAAACUCAAAUGAAUUGACGGGGGCCCGCACAAGCGGUGGAGCAUGUGGUUUAAUUCGAUGCAACGCGAAGAACCUUACCUGGUCUUGACAUAUCUAGAAUCCUGCAGAGAUGCGGGAGUGCCUUCGGGAAUUAGAAUACAGGUGCUGCAUGGCUGUCGUCAGCUCGUGUCGUGAGAUGUUGGGUUAAGUCCCGCAACGAGCGCAACCCUUGUCCUUAGUUACCAGCGGGUUAAGCCGGGAACUCUAAGGAUACUGCCAGUGACAAACUGGAGGAAGGCGGGGACGACGUCAAGUCAUCAUGGCCCUUACGACCAGGGCUACACACGUGCUACAAUGGUAGGUACAGAGGGCAGCUACACAGCGAUGUGAUGCGAAUCUCAAAAAGCCUAUCGUAGUCCAGAUUGGAGUCUGCAACUCGACUCCAUGAAGUAGGAAUCGCUAGUAAUCGCGGAUCAGAAUGCCGCGGUGAAUACGUUCCCGGGCCUUGUACACACCGCCCGUCACACCAUGGGAGUUGAUUGCACCAGAAGUGGAUAGCCUAACCGUAAGGAAGGCGUUCACCACGGUGUGGUUGAUGACUGGG